GAUGAACGCUGGCGGCGUGCUUAACACAUGCAAGUCGAACGCUGAAGCUCCCAGCUUGCUGGGGGUGGAUGAGUGGCGAACGGGUGAGUAUCACGUGAGGAACCUGCCCUGAACUGUGGGAUAAGCCUGGGAAACUGGGUCUAAUACUACAUAGGACGCUCCAUCGCAUGGUGGGGUGUGGAAAGCUUUUGCGGUUUGGGAUGGUCUCGCGGCCUAUCAGCUUGUUGGUGGGGUAAUGGCCUACCAAGGCUUUGACGGGUAGCCGGCCUGAGAGGGUGACCGGCCACACUGGGACUGAGACACGGCCCAGACUCCUACGGGAGGCAGCAGUGGGGGAUAUUGCACAAUGGGGGAAACCCUGAUGCAGCGACGCCGCGUGAGGGAUGACGGCCUUCGGGUUGUAAACCUCUUUCAGUUGGGAAGAAGCCCCUUUUUGGGGUGACGGUACCUUCAGAAGAAGCACCGGCUAACUACGUGCCAGCAGCCGCGGUAAUACGUAGGGUGCGAGCGUUAUCCGGAAUUAUUGGGCAUAAAGAGCUCGUAGGCGGUUUGUCGCGUCUGCUGUGAAGGCCCAGGGCUUAACCCUGGGUUUGCAGUGGGUGCGGGCAGGCUGGAGUGCAGUAGGGGAGACUGGAAUUCCUGGUGUAGCGGUGAAAUGCGCAGAUAUCAGGAGGAACACCGAUGGCGAAGGCAGGUCUCUGGGCUGUUACUGACGCUGAGGAGCGAAAGCAUGGGGAGCGAACAGG
rnacentral:rRNA from 1 species